UUUGUUGAUUGUUUUAUUGGUUGUUUGCUGCUUAUGUUAUUAGUUUACUGCUGUUAUUUUAUAACUAAGGACAAAAGUCGAGAAAGCUGGUUAGCUCAUUUAAUUUGUUUCUCUAUUGAAAUUGUUCCAUGAUCCCAUUGCUGCUUUGCUGCCUCAUCAUUUGUUUGAUGCAACUUAGGGUCGUAAUUUUUUGUAGUUGUCAUGCUACUUCACCGAAGUGGUUGAAUUAUCACAAUUGAAAAGUCGUAGAGCUAGGGUUGGACUAUUAGUAAUUACUGAAUUUGAGAAUAUUAUCUAAUUAAUUUACGGGGUUACUUUCUCUUUUUGUAGCAUGUUGAAAAGUUUUUGAGUUGGUUCACUUUCAUUUGAUUUUAAUGGGAUGAUAUGCUUUGAUGAGAAAAUCAUAUCCUUACAUGCACAUUUAUAACAAAUAACGCAUAUUUAAUUGGCUAAAUUACAUCUGUG
rnacentral:lncRNA from 1 species